rnacentral:lncRNA from 1 species
UGCACUAGAACGUCAUCAUAAUAUAUUGGAGUUCCGGCUGAACCGAUUUCAAUUGCAGAAAAAUAGUAAGCGUCUAACGGUCUAAGCUAUUUAUCCAUAUAUAGUAAAUGAUUAUUUGGAGGGAAUAAAUAUUUGUAGCAGUUAUAUAUAAAAAGGAAAGAACUCCUAUAUAUAGAGUCCUAGAGUUGAUAGUAAUAUGUAGGAGGACUUCUGAUAGUAGUUGAACUCCAAUAGGUGCCAAUAACUGUGAGAGAAUUAAGUGAUUCCAAUUUAAAUGUUUGACGUAAUUUGCGAAUAAUUAAUAUCUGUAGAGAUUAUUUGGAU